GACGAACGCUGGCGGCGUGCCUAAUACAUGCAAGUCGAGCGAAGUUUUUCUGGUGCUUGCCCUAGAAAAACUUAGCGGCGAACGGGUGAGUAACACGUAAAGAACCUGCCUCAUAGACUGGGACAACUAUUGGAAACGAUAGCUAAUACCGGAUAACAGUAUUUCUCGCAUGAGAGAUAUUUAAAAGUUGGUUAUGCUAACACUAUGAGAUGGCUUUGCGGUGCAUUAGCUAGUUGGUGGGGUAAAGGCCCACCAAGGCGACGAUGCAUAGCCGACCUGAGAGGGUGAUCGGCCACACUGGGACUGAGACACGGCCCAGACUCCUACGGGAGGCAGCAGUAGGGAAUCUUCCGCAAUGGGCGAAAGCCUGACGGAGCAACGCCGCGUGAGUGAAGAAGGAUUUCGGUUCGUAAAGCUCUGUUGUUAGGGAAGAAUGGAUAUGUAGUAACUAUACAUGUAAGAGACGGUACCUAAACAGAAAGCCACGGCUAACUACGUG
rnacentral:rRNA from 1 species